UGGGGAAUAUUGCACAAUGGGCGCAAGCCUGAUGCAGCCAUGCCGCGUGUGUGAAGAAGGCCUUCGGGUUGUAAAGCACUUUCAGCGGGGAGGAAGGCGAUAAGGUUAAUAACCUCAUCGAUUGACGUUACCCGCAGAAGAAGCACCGGCUAACUCCGUGCCAGCAGCCGCGGUAAUACGGAGGGUGCAAGCGUUAAUCGGAAUUACUGGGCGUAAAGCGCACGCAGGCGGUCUGUCAAGUCGGAUGUGAAAUCCCCGGGCUCAACCUGGGAACUGCAUUCGAAACUGGCAGGCUAGAGUCUUGUAGAGGGGGGUAGAAUUCCAGGUGUAGCGGAGAAAUGCGUAGAGAUCUGGAGGAAUACCGGUGGCGAAGGCGGCCCCCUGGACAAAGACUGACGCUCAGGUGCGAAAGCGUGGGGAGCAAACAGG
rnacentral:rRNA from 1 species